rnacentral:rRNA from 1 species
CCUACGGGAGGCAGCAGUGGGGAAUAUUGGACAAUGGGGGAAACCCUGAUCCAGCAAUGCCGCGUGAGUGAUGAAGGCCUUAGGGUCGUAAAGCUCUUUUACCAGGGAUGAUAAUGACAGUACCUGGAGAAUAAGCUCCGGCUAACUCCGUGCCAGCAGCCGCGGUAAUACGGAGGGAGCUAGCGUUGUUCGGAAUUACUGGGCGUAAAGCGUGCGUAGGCGGUUAUUCAAGUCAGAGGUGAAAGCCCGGGGCUCAACCCCGGAACGGCCUUUGAAACUAGAUAACUAGAAUCUUGGAGAGGUCAGUGGAAUUCCGAGUGUAGAGGUGAAAUUCGUAGAUAUUCGGAAGAACACCAGUGGCGAAGGCGACUGACUGGACAAGUAUUGACGCUGAGGUACGAAAGCGUGGGGAGCAAACAGGAUUAGAUACCCUGGUAGUCCACGCCGUAAACGAUGAUAACUAGCUGUCCGGACACUUGGUGUUUGGGUGGCGCAGCUAACGCAUUAAGUUAUCCGCCUGGGGAGUACGGUCGCAAGAUUAAAAACUCAAAGGAAUUGACGGCUGAGANGCAGACGACACAGGAGAG